rnacentral:rRNA from 1 species
GGAAUAUUGGACAAUGGGCGAAAGCCUGAUCCAGCAAUGCCGCGUGAGUGAUGAAGGCCCUCGGGUCGUAAAGCUCUUUUACCAGGGAUGAUAAUGACAGUACCUGGAGAAUAAGCUCCGGCUAACUCCGUGCCAGCAGCCGCGGUAAUACGGAGGGAGCUAGCGUUGUUCGGAAUUACUGGGGGUAAAGCGCGCGUAGGCGGCGAACCAAGUCAGGGGUGAAAUCCCGGGGCUCAACCCCGGAACUGCCUUUGAAACUAGUUUGCUAGAAUCUUGGAGAGGUCAGUGGAAUUCCGAGUGUAGAGGUGAAAUUCGUAGAUAUUUGGAAGAACACCAGUGGCGAAGGCGACUGACUGGACAAGUAUUGACGCUGAGGUGCGAAAGCGUGGGGAGCAAA